AGUAGUGAAGUAAAAUAUUACAUUUAGUUUCGACCUAAAAAUUAGAGAUUAUCUCCUUACUUUUA
rnacentral:tRNA from 1 species